rnacentral:rRNA from 1 species
AUUACCGAGUGAGGGCCCUUUGGGUCCAACCUCCCACCCGUGUUUAUUUUACCUUGUUGCUUCGGCGGGCCCGCCUUUACUGGCCGCCGGGGGGCUCACGCCCCCGGGCCCGCGCCCGCCGAAGACACCCCCGAACUCUGUCUGAAGAUUGAAGUCUGAGUGAAAAUAUAAAUUAUUUAAAACUUUCAACAACGGAUCUCUUGGUUCCGGCAUCGAUGAAGAACGCAGCGAAAUGCGAUACGUAAUGUGAAUUGCAAAUUCAGUGAAUCAUCGAGUCUUUGAACGCACAUUGCGCCCCCUGGUAUUCCGGGGGGCAUGCCUGUCCGAGCGUCAUUGCUGCCCUCAAGCCCGGCUUGUGUGUUGGGCCCCGUCCUCCGAUUCCGGGGGACGGGCCCGAAAGGCAGCGGCGGCACCGCGUCCGGUCCUCGAGCGUAUGGGGCUUUGUCACCCGCUCUGUAGGCCCGGCCGGCGCUUGCCGAUCAACCCAAAUUUUUAUCCAGGUUGACCUCGGAUCAGGUAGGGAUACCCGCUGAACUUAAGCAUA